rnacentral:rRNA from 1 species
AGUUUGAUCAUGGCUCAGGAUGAACGCUAGCGGCAGGCUUAACACAUGCAAGUCGAGGGGUAUAGUAGCAAUACUAGAGACCGGCAAACGGGUGCGGAACACGUACGCAAUCUACCCUUACCCGGGGCAUAGCCCGAAGAAAUUCGGAUUAACACCCCAUAAGAUAUUAGAGAGGCAUCUCUUAGAUAUUAAAAAUUUAUUGGGUAAGGAUGAGCGUGCGUCCCAUUAGCUAGUUGGUAGGGUAACGGCCUACCAAGGCGACGAUGGGUAGCUGGUGUGAGAGCACGACCAGCCACACGGGCACUGAGACACGGGCCCGACUCCUACGGGAGGCAGCAGUGAGGAAUAUUGGUCAAUGGACGCAAGUCUGAACCAGCCAUGCCGCGUGAAGGAUGAAGGCCUUCUGGGUUGUAAACUUCUUUUAUCUGGGAAGAAACCUCCGAUUUCUAUUGGAGUUGACGGUACCAGAGGAAUAAGCACCGGCUAACUCCGUGCCAGCAGCCGCGGUAAUACGGAGGGUGCAAGCGUUAUCCGGAUUUACUGGGUUUAAAGGGUGUGUAGGCGGGCUAUUAAGUCAGUGGUGAAAUCUCCGAGCUUAACUUGGAAACUGCCAUUGAUACUAUUAGUCUUGAAUUUUGUUGAGGUAGGCGGAAUAAGUCAUGUAGCGGUGAAAUG